AACAGUUAGUCUUCAACUGCAUAAAAAAAAUUGAGUGAAAGUUAUACCGAACAAAGCAUGUGGUAAUUGGUAAAAUUUAUCAAUACUAAUUUUUAAAUUUUAAAAAGAAACAAUACUAACUGAAAACAAGACAAAACACAUUUGCACUUCUGCCAUAAACGUGUCAUAUAAAUUUCCAUCCAUAAAUGGAAUUUCCUCAAAAGUAGGUUGACAUAUUCGCAUCAAAUGCCAAUAGGAAGCAACAAAUGCCACAACAGACAAUCCAGGGAAAUGAAAUGAAUCCCAAUGACACUAAUCCAACAAUAAAG
rnacentral:misc_RNA from 1 species